GAUCUACUUCCUCCGUUCGGAAUUACUUGUCGCAGAAAUGGAUGUAUCUAGACAUAUUUUAGUUCUAGAUACAUCCAUUUUCGAGACAAGUAAUUCCGAACGGAGGGAGUAUAAA
rnacentral:pre_miRNA from 1 species